rnacentral:rRNA from 1 species
AUAGGCGGAGGAAAAGAAACUAACCAGGAUUCCCCAAGUAGCGGCGAGCGAACAGGGAGAAGCCCAGCACGGAAUCCCACGCGUUGACGCGUAGGGAGAUGUCGUGUGUGGGAGGUUCCAUCAUCCCGGGGAUCGGCGGCGAGUCCAAGUCUCCCUUGAACGGGGCCACAGCUCGUAGAGGGUGCCAGGCCCGUAGAGACCGCAGCCCUUCCCGGGAGGAGCUCUCCUCAGAGUCGUGUUCCUUGAGAGUGGAGCACCAAGUGGGUGGUAAACUCCAUCUAAGGCUAAAUACGACCACGAGACCGAUAGCGAACAAGUACCGUGAGGGAAAGUUGAAAAGAACUUUGAAGAGAGAGUUCAACNNNNNNNNNNNNNNNNNNNNNNNAAACGGGAGAGACCCGAAAGAUCUAAGGGGAGACUCAAUCACCCACGCAACGACGGGCCACGGUGCAUUCCGGAUGUCUCCGGCCGCCGGUCAUGCCGCAAGGCGUGCGCCGGUUUGCGUUGGAGGCACCGGUUGUCCGUCGGUAACAUAUCCGUCUGCGGCGGGAUGCAAUUCUUCCCUGGAGACGUCGCGACCCGUUGGAGUGCCGGUCUAAGGCCCGGGAUGGAGCCCGAGGGAAUCGCCGCGGAAACGCGGAUCAACGGUUCCCCGGACCCCGGUUUCCCGGCCGGCGUCCGACGGUAGUCUUACGGAGAAGGCCCGCUCACUCGAGCGAGCGUCCGGCCUGUGGGGCAAGCUCUUCGGUGGCGUCGUGGUGCCGUGGCGUCUGCCACGUCCCCGACCCCCGCGAGGCUGUUGGCCCCCGGUGUCCUCGGACGGUAGCCGUCUCCCGUCAGCGGCGCUUAUGCUUUGGGUGCUCUCCCGACNNNNNNNNNNNNNNNGACCAAGGAGUCUAACAUGUGCGCGAGUCAAUGGGAUUAACUAAACCCAGAGGCGCAGUGAAAGCGGGGCGGACCCUUCGCGGCCGCCUUGGGAGGAUGGCUCUCCCUCGGGGGAGCCCGCACUCCCGGGGCGCCUCGGCCUAGCCGCAGGCGCACCCUGAGCGUACACGUUGGGACCCGAAAGAUGGUGAACUAUGCCUGGCCAGGACGAAGUCAGGGGAAACCCUGAUGGAGGUCCGCAGCGAUUCUGACGUGCAAAUCGAUCGUCAGAGCUGGGUAUAGGGGCGAAAGACUAAUCGAACCAUCUANNNNNNNNNNNNNNNNNNNNNNNNNNNNNNNNNNNNNNGCGUCCAUUUGGACUGGGACGAGUCUCAUCCGGUAAAGCGAAUGAUUAGAGGCCUUGGGGCCGAAACGACCUCAACCUAUUCUCAAACUUUAAAUGGGUGAGAUCUCCGGCUUGCUUGAUUGAAGCCGAGAGAGCCACCGGAUCAGGGUGCCAAGUGGGCCAUUUUUGGUAAGCAGAACUGGCGCUGUGGGAUGAACCAAACGUCGGGUUAAGGCGCCUAAACCGGAGCUCAUGGGAAACCAUGAAAGGCGUUGGUUGCUUAAGACAGCAGGACGGUGGCCAUGGAAGUCGGAAGCCGCUAAGGAGUGUGUAACAACUCACCUGCCGAAGCAACUAGCCCUGAAAAUGGAUGGCGCUAAAGCUCCGUGCCUAUACCCGACCGCCGGCAGGCAAGGGCGUCGCGGCUCGUCCGUGGCGCGUGAAGCCCCGGUGAGUAGGAGGGCGCGGCGGUGAGCGCGGAAGGGUCUGGGCGUGAGCCUGCCUGGAGCCGCCGCCGGUGCAGAUCUUGGUGGUAGUAGCAAAUACUCAAGCGAGGGCCUUGAGGGCUGAUGUGGAGAAGGGUUUCGUGUGAACAGCCGUUGCACACGAGUCAGUCGAUCCUAAGCCCUAGGAGAAAUCCGAUGUUGAUGAGGGGUGCUUACUUACGUAACGUACCUCCUUCGGGCGAAAGGGAAUCCGGUUCCUAUUCCGGAACCCGGCAGCGGAACCGAACCGUCGGGCCCUCGCAAGAGAAGCUCGUCGGGGUAACCCAAAAGGACCCGGAGACGCCGUCGGGAGACCCGGGCAGAGUUUUCUGUUCUGCAUAAGCGUUCGAGUUCCCUGGAAUCCUCUAGCAGGGAGAUAGGGUUUGGAACGCGAAGAGCACCGCAGUUGCGGCGGUGUCUGGGUCGUCCCCUCGGACCUUGAAAAUCCGGGAGAGGGCUACGCGGAGGUGUCGCGCCGGCUCGUACCCAUAUCCGCAGCAGGUCUCCAAGGUGAAGAGCCUCUAGUCGAUAGACUA